UUAGAUUACAAAAUAAAGAAUAAGUGCUAAUUAUACUACAAACGUACCCAUUUUUUUAGUUUAAGUGCUUAAAUGAAGGUUUUUUUUAGUUUGUGAAUAAGUAAAGUAAUUUUUUAGUUUAAGUGCCUAAUUGAAGAGGUAGCUGAUUGUGAUUUAUGUUCGUAACUUACGGUACUUUAUAAAUUGAAAUAAAAUAAUUUGUAAUGA